rnacentral:lncRNA from 1 species
GUAACUAUCAGGUGAAAUUAAAAUUCCUACAGUCAACCUUGAGACUGGUUGCUCCAUGAUCACGGGUGGCAUGUGGCUUUAGAGUCCUCCAAAGCAAAAAUGAUAAUUUCUUUACAAAUGUCUAGCAGAAACCUCCCGGAUAACUGUUUUCCACAAUUUUUUUACUCGAGAAUGUCAGUCUUGAAGGCCCUGGUUACCAGUUGUGAUUUCUGGAUGCCUUCAUAUUAGCUGCCCCAAUUACUUUUGCCUUUGCCUUCACGGCACAGGUAGAAGAUAAAGCCUGAGCAAAUCUCCGUAUCUUGUUCAUUUUAUAGCAAUUUCUGCUCCAGAUCAGCCAAAAUUUACCUUCCCUGGCUGCAUUAUCUAUGUUAAUGGAUAUACAAUCCUUUCCCAAGCAUUUGGUCAUUCUUGCAGCCUUUCCACUCCGAACUUUGGGUUUCAUCAGCCAAAUGCAUCAAUUCAUGCACUUAACAGCUAGAACGCCUCCCUGGCAACACCCCUUAGCUUAAGAGAGACAGAAGGUAGCAGCAUCAGCAGCAGCAAGAAAAACCAGUAACAUUGCAGCUUCCCACAAUUCCAGGCUCUAUAGGUA